rnacentral:rRNA from 1 species
CCUACGGGAGGCAGCAGUGGGGAAUAUUGGGCAAUGGAGGAAACUCUGACCCAGCGACGCCGCGUGCGGGAUGAAGGCCUUCGGGUUGUAAACCGCUUUCAGCAGGGAAGAAGCGAAAGUGACGGUACCUGCAGAAGAAGCACCGGCUAACUAUGUGCCAGCAGCCGCGGUAAUACAUAGGGUGCAAGCGUUGUCCGGAAUUAUUGGGCGUAAAGAGCUCGUAGGUGGUUCGUCACGUCGGAUGUGAAAAUCUGGGGCUUAACCCCAGACCUGCAUUCGAUACGGGCGAGCUUGAGUAUGGUAGGGAGUCUGGAAUUCCUGGUGUAGCGGUGGAAUGCGCAGAUAUCAGGAGGAACACCAAUGGCGAAGGCAGGACUCUGGGCCAUUACUGACACUGAGGAGCGAAAGCGUGGGGAGCGAACAGGAUUAGAUACCCUGGUAGUCCACGCCGUAAACGGUGGGCACUAGUUGUGGGGACCUUCCACGGUCUCUGCGACGCNGCUACGCAUAGUGCCGCCGUGGGAGUACGAGCGCGAGAGUAAACGUACAAGUUAGAGUAGUUAGNGUGNGAGNGCGAGGACGACGACGAGGGAGGAGG